rnacentral:rRNA from 1 species
UGGGGAAUCUUGGACAAUGGGCGCAAGCCUGAUCCAGCGAUGCCGCGUGUGUGAAGAAGGCCUGCGGGUUGUAAAGCACUUUAGUUGGGGAGGAAAGGUAUGUACUGCAUAAGUGCAUGCUGUGACGUUACCCAAAGAAUAAGCACCGGCUAACUACGUGCCAGCAGCCGCGGUAAUACGUAGGGUGCGAGCGUUAAUCGGAAUUACUGGGCGUAAAGGGCGCGUAGGCGGCAAUUCAAGUCAUCUGUGAAAUCUCCGGGCUUAACUCGGAACGGUCAGAUGAUACUGCUUUGCUAGAGUGCAGAAGGGGCAAUCGGAAUUCUUGGUGUAGCGGUGAAAUGCGUAGAUAUCAAGAGGAACACCUGAGGUGAAGACGGGUUGCUGGGCUGACACUGACGCUGAGGCGCGAAAGCCAGGGGAGCAAACGGGAUUAGAUACCCCCGUAGUCCCUGAGCGGGCUGGCAAGGCGCAU